rnacentral:pre_miRNA from 1 species
AGGUCCUCAAUAAGUAUUUGUUGAAAAAAUAAAGCAACAAAUCUUAUUUGAGCACCUGUUAUG